UACGGGGGGAGCAAGCGUUGUUCGGAUUUACUGGGCGUAAAGGGCGCGUAGGCGGCCAGCGCAAGUCAGUUGUGAAAUCUCCGGGCUUAACUCGGAACGGUCAACUGAUACUGCGCGGCUAGAGUGCAGAAGGGGCAACUGGAAUUCUCGGUGUAGCGGUGAAAUGCGUAGAUAUCGAGAGGAACACCUGCGGCGAAGGCGGGUUGCUGGGCUGACACUGACGCUGAUGCGCGAAAGCCAGGGGAGCGAGCGGG
rnacentral:rRNA from 1 species